GACGUAGGGGGCCAGCGUUGUUCGGAAUUACUGGGUGUAAAGGGUUCGUAGGCGGUGUGGCAAGUCGGGAGUGAAAUCUCUGGGCUCAACUCAGAGACUGCUUCCGAAACUGCUGUGCUGGAGUGUGGGAGAGGCGCGUGGAAUUGCAGGUGUAGCGGUGAAAUGCGCAGAUAUCAGGAGGAACACCGGUGGCGAAGGCGGUUCUCUGGGCAUUACCUGACGCUGAGGAGCGAAAGUGUGGGGAGCGAACAGG
rnacentral:rRNA from 1 species